GAUGAACGCUGGCGGCGUGCCUAAUACAUGCAAGUCGAGCGAACAGACGAGGAGCUUGCUCCUCUGACGUUAGCGGCGGACGGGUGAGUAACACGUGGAUAACCUACCUAUAAGACUGGGAUAACUUCGGGAAACCGGAGCUAAUACCGGAUAAUAUAUUGAACCGCAUGGUUCAAUAGUGAAAGACGGUUUUGCUGUCACUUAUAGAUGGAUCCGCGCCGCAUUAGCUAGUUGGUAAGGUAACGGCUUACCAAGGCAACGAUGCGUAGACGACCUGAGAGGACGAGAGCAACCACUAGAAAUGAUACACGGAGGAGACUAAUAAGGGAGGAAGAAGUAUGGCAGCUUGAUGAAUGUGCGAGAGCCAAAAACAUCUACGAUGAGUGAAUAAUAAAGGUAUUGGAAGCGUAACACGCUGAUAUUAUGCCAGAACAUAUGUGCACGGAACUCUGCACAACUUGACGGUGCCUAAGCAGAGGGCGAGGACUAGGAACGAC
rnacentral:rRNA from 1 species